AACGUACGCUGGCGGCACGCCUAACACAUGCAAGUCGAACGAAGUAGCAAUACUUAGUGGCAGACGGGUGAGUAACAUGUAGGUAUCUGCCCUUUGGCCUGGAAUAACACGAGGAAACUUGUGCUAAUACCGGAUAAGUCUUUACGGAGAAAGCUUAAUGCACCAUUGGAUGAGCCUGCACUUGAUUAGUUUGUUGGUGGGGUAAUGGCCUACCAAGACGGUGAUCAAUAGCUGAUUUGAGAGGAUGAUCAGCCACAUUGGGACUGAGACACGGCCCAAACUCCUACGGGAGGCAGCAGUGGGGAAUCUUGCACAAUGGAGGAAACUCUGAUGCAGCGAUGCCGCGUGAGUGAAGAAGGCCCUUGGGUUGUAAAGCUCUUUCGUCGGGGAAGAAAAUGACUGUACCCGAAUAAGAAGGUCCGGCUAACUUCGUGCCAGCAGCCGCGGUAAUACGAAGGGACCUAGCGUAGUUCGGAAUUACUGGGCUUAAAGAGUUCGUAGGUGGUUGAAAAAGUUAGUGGUGAAAUCCCAGAGCUUAACUCUGGAACUGCCAUUAAAACUUUUCAGCUAGAGUAUGAUAGAGGAAAGCAGAAUUUCUAGUGUAGAGGUGAAAUUCGUAGAUAUUAGAAAGAAUACCAAUUGCGAAGGCAGCUUUCUGGAUCAUUACUGACACUGAGGAACGAAAGCAUGGGUAGCGAAGAGGAUUAGAUACCCUCGUAGUCCAUGCCGUAAACGAUGUGUGUUAGACGUUGGAAAUUUAUUUUCAGUGUCGCAGGGAAACCGAUAAACACACCGCCUGGGGAGUACGACCGCAAGGUUAAAACUCAAAUGAAUUGACGGGGACCCGCACAAGUAGUGGAGCAUGUGGUUUAAUUCGAAGAUACGCGCAGAACCUUACCAACACUUGACAUGUUCGUCGCGACUCUAAGAGAUUAGAGUUUUCGGUUCGGCCGGACGAAACACAGGUGCUGCAUGGCUGUCGUCAGCUCGUGUCGUGAGAUGUUGGGUUAAGUCCCGCAACGAGCGCAACCCUCACUUUUAGUUGCCAUCAUUAAGUUGGGCACUCUGAAAGAACUGCCAGUGAUAAGCUGGAGGAAGGUGGGGAUGACGUCAAGUCCUCAUGGCCCUUACGUGUUGGGCUACACACGUGCUACAAUGGUAUCUACAACAGGAAGCAAGACUGCGAAGUUAAGCAAAUCCCUAAAAGAUACCUCAGUUCGGAUUGCACUCUGCAACUCGAGUGCAUGAAGCUGGAAUUACUAGUAAUCGUGAAUCAGCGUGCCACGGUGAAUGCGUUCCCGGGUCU
rnacentral:rRNA from 1 species